AUGACCGUUGAACUUCGUUCAAACAUAACCUCUUCUCCUUCCAAACUUGCAAACGGCACCGCAAUUUCCCGAUUCACCACCUCUUUCGUCUUCUUAUCCUUUCUCCACCUCAAUCUUUAUCUCCGCCUUAAUUCAUUUCAUUCUUCACCGCAUACUUCAAAUUCGAACUUGUCUCCCUCCGUCUUAAUUCGAAAUCAGCAUCACAAACAACCUCUUCAUCAUCUCAAUUUGGUAACUCAAACUUCAUAUAUCAAUUCAAAUCAAAGGUUUCAGAAGAAGUUGGAGAAGCGGGGUUACCCAUGA